rnacentral:lncRNA from 1 species
GAGAUGUCGGGGGGGAGCCAGGGAGAGCCACGCUUAGCCCUGCAGAGAGCGUUCUGAGCAUGCUGGCUGGGGAGCCUGGGCCACAGAGCCCACUCUGUCUGGGAUGGAGACCCUGAGCCUGGCAUCUCACCCAGAGGCAUGGAGGCAGCCUGGCCUCUGACACAGGCUUUUUAUACUACUCCAAGUUUAACUGGAAUGCAAAUCGUGGCCCAGGCAGCUGUAGCUAUUGGGUCUCACCACCAUCCUCAGCUCCUGUAUUCAUCUGUGACUUAUUGUGAUGAAUAUUUUAUCGGACAAUGGUUUGCCUUAAUUAAACCUCAGUUUUUUAAAGCUCUCAAAUGUGAUUUUUAUUUUGUCUUGGGGCCAGCGGCCUUUUAAAAUGGGAGCACAUCUGCAAAAUUGGGUAGAAGUCAGUAGGAAAACAAGAUUCAAAAAUCUACCUCCUUUGAUUUGCACACUGCUUUCCAGGAAGGCCCCCGUGUGUGUGCAAUUGGUCCAAUGCCAUUAUGUUCAGUCAGAGCUAUUUGGAGAGCCCAGACUACCUGAGAGGGGAGGGGAAUGGGCCCAGUAGUGGCGCUGAUCCCAGCACAGGUGGUGAGAAGACAUCAAAGAGAACCAUUUGCGUCCUUCGAGGCCUCCCUGCGGCUUUGAUCUGAGUCCAAGGGCAGCUUCCCUUCACCUCAACAUAUUUGCCACCACUCAUCACCUUAGGGAGGGCACCUUCAGGGACUGUCCCCCUUAGACUGCUCUGAAAUAUUUUCCCAUGUAACUUUUGACUCCCAGGGUCCGUGGCAGGUGGAGUAGGCUGGGAGGGGGUACUGUGAAGAAACAGCUGGUAAGAGAUGAUUGACUGGUGGAGAUUGGAGUGGGGGCAGGGGUAUGCUUGCCGCUGGCAACAGGAGAAGGUCGGCCACAUUGGAGCAACUGAGGUAGAAUCUCAGGAGAAAUCUGAAUUGAGAAACGGCAAGGAUUAGAAUGAAAGGAUUAGGUCCUGGGGAGCAGGCAGAAGCAAGAAGCCGUGGCGCUCCAUCUGGGCUCCAUCCAGUACCUAAGCAAGCCCCAUGACCACCAACAUAUUCAAAGCAGCAGACCAGAAGCAAAGUAGGUGCCAGUUGAUACACAAAUAUAACAGGACAUGAUUGUGCUGUAAGAAAAGGCUGAAUAAACAGUUUAGAGAAGGUAAGAUGGGAUACA